GUGCUCAUUUCAGCAUCUAUACUAAAAUUGGAACAAUACAGAGAAGAUUAGCAUGACACCUGCACAAGGAUGACAUGCAAAUUCAUGAAGCAUUCCAUAUAUUU
ensembl:snRNA U6 U6 spliceosomal RNA